rnacentral:tRNA from 1 species
AUUUAUAUAGUAUAAAAAUUAUAAUUGAUUUCCAAUCAAAAGAUCUAAUAAAUUUUAGUAUAAAUA